rnacentral:rRNA from 1 species
UUCGGGUUGUAAAGCACUUUCAGCAGUGAGGAAGGCGGGUAUGUUAAUAGCAUAUUCGUUUGACGUUAGCUGCAGAAGAAGCACCGGCUAACUCCGUGCCAGCAGCCGCGGUAAUACGGAGGGUGCGAGCGUUAAUCGGAAUUACUGGGCGUAAAGCGCAUGCAGGUGGUUUGUUAAGUCAGAUGUGAAAGCCCGGGGCGUCAACCUCGGAAUAGCAUUUGAAACUGGCAGACUAGAGUACUGUAGAGGGGGGUAGGAAUUUCAGGUGUAGCGGUGAAAUGCGUAGAGAUCUGAAGGAAUACCGGUGGCGAAGGCGGCCCCCUGGACAGAUACUGACACUCAGAUGCGAAAGCGUGGGGAGCAAACAGGAUUAGAUACCCUGGUAG